ACGCUCGACACCUACGCAGCAGUGAGGAAUAUUGGUCAAUGGGCGCUAGCCUGAACCAGCCAAGUAGCGUGAAGGAUGAAGGCUCUAUGGGUCGUAAACUUCUUUUAUAUAAGAAUAAAGUGCAGUAUGUAUACUGUUUUGUAUGUAUUAUAUGAAUAAGGAUCGGCUAACUCCGUGCCAGCAGCCGCGGUAAUCUGAGGCGGGCUGGACGAAGGC
rnacentral:rRNA from 1 species